UAGCACGCCUAAACGGUAGUUUGUUGAGUCACUCCUUUGGCUUCUUCUCCUUCAAGCUUCCACCAAUUUUGAUCAGAGCAUCGAUCCUUCCGGCGACACCUGUACGUGACGACAACUUCCACCGGCGUCUUCUUCAAUAGCUGCAUUGAUGACUUGCUACUCCUGCAAUGGCUGGUGACCCGUUCUGCAGGCGCCACUCGCCGGAGCGGACUCAAGUCUGAACAUCCUCACGAUUCCGGCGAUUUUCAACGGUUAUUUCUCUUUUUCGUUGAUUUUCGGUAAUGAUCUAUGCUCAAUGGACCUUUGAUUUACAUUACCCCCUCCCUAACGGCUUCAAAUCUACGGGUCUUUUUCGUAUUGGAUGGAUAACGGACCCAUUUGAACACUUUUCAGCAAGGAUUGUUGUCCGUUUUGAUCUAAUGACUCCUUACUACACAACUGCCAGAGCCUGCCUCAAGGAACAAAGAGAUGGCUACGGCUGCUGCACAGGAAAGACCCAGGUUUUGUGAAGUUCACUUGAAUGAUAGAACGAAGGCCAUGAAGGCGAAGCCGCAUGCCAGCCAAGGAAUCCAACUGAAAUUCUGAUGCUUCAGAAGAAGACUAGCCACGAUGCACGCACCAACAGCAGCUAGCAUAGCACCGAUCUUGCCGAACGAAAGCGCGACUCUUGGGAAGGCAGUUUGAAGAAAAAGCGCAGCAAGUGAAAGUGCCAAGCUAAUGAACAUAGCCGCUGCAAAGAGAUUUAUGAAAAGUGGAGGAAAUGAGGUGGGUCUGCUGAUGAACAGAGCCAGCACUGCCUGGAAAGUAAGCCCAAAAACUAUCUUCCCAAGAUUGUUGCGAGCCUGAGGCUCCCUGGGUAAGCCAUCUGAGGCUCCCUGGAUAGAAGAGAAUUGAUUCAUGUCGAUGGAAACCUGCUGUGCAGUUGAUCCCAUUGUGAAUCAGAGAAUCAGAUAAAGGAAACCUCCCAAGAUAAAAAAAUGGGUUAAGACGAGCCCUUUUCAUAUGAUUUUUAUCAAUUGUAUUAGGGGUUCAUCGCCCACUGUAAUUUGAAAGGAAAAAAAAA